GUGCACUUUUUGAGAAUGGUCUUGUCCUGGAUGACAUUUUCAUUGUACAAAAUUGCAAGAGCAUAUUAGUUUUUUGCUUGCCUUGUUGCUUCACAAAGUCCGAGCAUCAAAGGCCAAUGAAAACUUGGACACAA
rnacentral:snoRNA from 1 species